UGUAAGCGUAUACCAAAGUUGUUGCAGUUAAAACGCUCGUAGUCGGAACUUGGCCGUUCCGGAUGUGUGCACGUCGUGUGCGCACUUUGAAGGGACGGCUUUUGUGGUCUUGCGUAGGAUGAGGCACUUUUAUUAGUGAACGUCCUCACGCAACCACUCUUUACUGUGAGAAAAUCAGAGUGCUCAAAGCAGGCAUUUGCCGUGAAUGUAUUAGCAUGGAAUAAUAGAAUAGGACUCGGUUCUAUUUUGUUGGUUUGUUGGGACUGAGUAAUGAUUAAGAGGGACAGUUGGGGGCAUUUGUAUUUCGGCGCUAGAGGUGAAAUUCUUAGAUUGCCGAAAGACAAACUGCUGCGAAAGCGUCUGCCAAGGAUGUUUUCAUUGA
rnacentral:rRNA from 1 species